GACUGAAACUGACGCUGAGGCACGAAAGCGUGGGGAGCAAACAGGAUUAGAUAUCCUGGUAGUCCACGCCGUAAUCGAUGAAUGCUAGGUGUUGUGCCUACGGGCUCGGUGCCGCAGUUAACGCAAUAAGCAUUCCACCUGGGGAGUACGACCGCAAGGUUGAAACUCAAAGGAAUUGACGGGGGCCCGCACAAGCGGUGGAGCAUGUGGUUUAAUUCGAUGCAACGCGAAGAACCUUACCAAGUCUUGACAUCCCUCUGACCGGCUUUUAAUCGAGCCUUUCCUUCGGGACAGAGGAGACAGGUGGUGCAUGGUUGUCGUCAGCUCGUGUCGUGAGAUGUUGGGUUAAGUCCCGCAACGAGCGCAACCCCUAUUAUCAGUAGCCAGCACUUAAAGGUGGGCACUCUGAUAAGACUGCCGGGGAUAACUCGGAGGAAGGUGGGGAUGAGGUCAAAUCAUCAUGCCCCUUAUGACUUGUUGACGGCCGGUGCGACAAUGGCUAUGACAAAGAGAAGCGAGACCGCGACGUCCAGCAAAGCUCAAAAAAGUAAUCCCAAUGCGGAUUGUAGUCAGCAACUAGACUGCAUGAAGCCGAAUCGCU
rnacentral:rRNA from 1 species